rnacentral:rRNA from 1 species
UACGGAGGGGGCUAGCGUUGUUCGGAAUUACUGGGCGUAAAGGGCUCGUAGGCGGCCAUCUAAGUCGGACGUGAAAUCCCUCGGCUUAACCGGGGAACUGCGUCCGAUACUGGAGGGCUUGAGUGUGGGAGAGGGAUGCGGAAUUCCAGGUGUAGCGGUGAAAUGCGUAGAUAUUGGGAAGAACACCUGAGGCGAAGGCGGGUUGCUGGGCCCGACACUGACGCUGAGAAGCGAAAAGCGUGGGGAGCGAACAGG